AACGAACGCUGGCGGCAUGCCUAACACAUGCAAGUCGAACGCUUGCCUUCGGGUGUUAGUGGCGCACGGGUGGGUAAGGAGGGGUGAUUUGCGCGUGGGUUCGGAAUAACAGAGGGAAACGGCUGCUAAUAACGGGAGUGAUCGCACGACAUAAGAUCUAUAGCCUGAGGAUGAGCCAGAGAUGGAUGAGGUAGUUGGUCGGGUAAAGGCCUACCAAGCCGAUGAGCCAUAGCUGGUCUGAGAGGAUGAUCAGCCACACUGGGACUGAGACACGGCGCAGACUCCUGCGAGAGGCAGCAGUGGGGACUAUUGGACAAUGGGCGGAAGACUGAGCCAGCGGUGCCGCGUGAGUGAUGAAGGCACUAGGGUUGUAAAGCUCUUUUACCCGGGAAGAUAAGGACGGUACCGGGAAGAAAGACCCGGGUAAACUCGUG
rnacentral:rRNA from 1 species